GUCAGUUCUGAAUGGGUUCCUCAUGUCUUUCCAGCUGUGUGCAAAAAAGCAUAUGUCCCACCAUUGGAAUAAUGCACCCUUCUGAAUUCUUUACU
rnacentral:lncRNA from 1 species